GUCUCCAUAGCUAAGUGGUUAUAGCAUGCGAUUGCAGCGCGAGCCAACCAGCCGCGUAAUAUCGCAGGGUCCCGUGUUCAAAUCACGGUGGGGACU